CCUUCAUUAAGGUCCCAACUUCACCAGUAUGGCUUCUGGAUGCCACACAAAUCUCUUUUAGUGCCCUUUGGACACCCAGAGCAGUUCUGCAAUAGUUUGGAGUCAUGCAAGUUUGUACUAGUUUCUUCUACAACCCUCUGGGAAGAUGUAAUGUUGGAAGAAUUCACUACACCUGUUUUCAUCUUCUCAAGGCAAAGCUGUAAGUUAGCUGUUUGCUUUCAGUUAUGCUGAGCUGGGGUGGAACACAGAAAGGACACUUGUGUGUGAAAUGAAACUUUUCUUAUUAUCUGUUCCAGGGCAGCUCUUCUUGGCUUUGAGGUUUCCUGGGUCAGUGUGAUGCCCUGGUUGAUGUCCGAAGUCUUACUAAAGGCUUUUUGUAUUCGUGUUGUUGGUAAGUCGUUGCUUCUUUGAUGAACAUGGUCAGGGACUUCCUGUGCCAC
rnacentral:lncRNA from 1 species